GAACUGGUAGGAUAACAAGGCUCCCUUGCACUGCUUCAUUCCUAGCUGUUUUGGCCAAAAGGUCAGCCACUUUGUUCCCUUCCCUGAAGACAUGCUCCGGAUUGGUUGCUUGGGCCCUCUCCAGCGUUGAACUGCAAUCAAUGGGCGUUAAAUUAUGGUUGAUUGCUAUGUUGAGGCCCCUCCUGAGAGCAUGUAGCUCUGCAUCUAUGGGGGGUGGUACUGGUUUUGUGCUCCAUGAAGCCAACGAUCUAUUCCCCAUUAUGGUCUCUAAUGGUGCCCCCUAGCCCCCUUUGCCCCGUUAUAAGGCACACUGAAGCAUUAGUGUUAAGUUUAAACAUACUUCUGUUUGGGGGUUUCCAAGUGCCUUGGAUAGUAGUGAAGGAGUGUUGGGGGUGGUUAGAGAUGAUGAGGUGGUAUUCCAUUGUCUGGGAGAUAAUAUCCUCUGAAUGUUAUCCUUUUUGUCAUUGAACAGGUUGUUGUUCCUA